rnacentral:rRNA from 1 species
UUGCACGCUGGCGGCAGGCCUCACACAUGCAAGUCGCGCGGAUGAAGGGAGCUUGCUCCUGGAUUCAGCGGCGGACGGGUGAGUAAUGCCUAGGAAUCUGCCUGGUAGUGGGGGAUAACGUCCGGAAACGGGCGCUAAUACCGCAUACGUCCUGAUGGAGAAAGUGGGGGAUCUUCGGACCUCACGCUAUCAGAUGAGCCUAGGUCGGAUUAGCUAGUUGGUGGGGUAAAGGCCUACCAAGGCGACGAUCCGUAACUGGUCUGAGAGGAUGAUCAGUCACACUGGAACUGAGACACGGUCCAGACUCCUACGGGAGGCAGCAGUGGGGAAUAUUGGACAAUGGGCGAAAGCCUGAUCCAGCCAUGCCGCGUGUGUGAAGAAGGUCUUCGGAUUGUAAAGCACUUUAAGUUGGGAGGAAGGGCAGUAAGUUAAUACCUUGCUAUUUUGACGUUACCAACAGAAUAAGCACCGGCUAACUUCGUG